rnacentral:rRNA from 1 species
UACGUAGGGUGCGAGCGUUUGUCCGGAAUUAUUGGGCGUAAGGAGCUCGUAGGCGGUUUGUCGCGUCUGCUGUGAAAACCUAAGGCUCAACCUUGGGCUUGCGGUGGGUACGGGCAGACUAGAGUGAUGUAGGGGAGACUGGAAUUCCUGGUGUAGCGGUGAAAUGCGCAGAUAUCAGGAGGAACACCGAUGGCGAAGGCAGGUCUCUGGGCAUUAACUGACGCUGAGGAGCGAAAGCAUGGGGAGCGAACAGG